AGCUUCGUGCAGUGGCAGUAUUGUAGCCAAUAGGUUUAUCUGAGGCGCGAUCAUUGCUAAUUGAAAGACUGUUUGGAGGAAUUUAGAGAAAUGAAAGAGAUUAGAAGAAAAUCUUGAAUUACAUUGGCAUGC
rnacentral:snRNA from 2 species